AACGUAGGUGGCAAGCGUUAUCCGGAUUUACUGGGCGUAAAGCGUGUGCAGGCGGGGGUACAAGUGGUGUAUGAAAUUUCCCAGCUUAACUGGGAAGGGUUAUGCCAGACUGUACUUCUGGAGUGCGAGAGAGGGGCGUGGAAUUCCGGGUGUAGUGGUGAAAUGCGUAGAGAUCCGGAGGAACCCCAGAGGCGAGGGCGGCGCCCUGGCUCGCAACUGACGCUCAGACACGACAGCAUGGGGAGCGAACGGG
rnacentral:rRNA from 1 species